rnacentral:lncRNA from 1 species
AUUCCCAUCCUUCCGAGAAAGAGCAUUUGCCGCUUUAUUUGUUAUGCCAAACUUAUAUCCAAUGACAAAAUUAUAAUCCAUCAACUUUGAGAACCAAUACUGCUGAGAAGGGGUGCUCACCUGCUGUAACAUCAGAUGUUUUGAGACUUCAUUGAUCCAUCCUCACUGUAAACUUCAUUCGAUCAAAUAAGAUCGCUAAUAUUGUAUUGCCACAACCAAAGCCAUUUAUUCCCUCUCAUAAGCAAAAUGGGCGGUAGACUUAUCUGAAAUGGCCUUGCUGAAAUAGGCCACAGGUUGGAAAUUUUGCAUUAAAAUAGCCCCCACUCCACAUUCUGAUGCAUCACAUUCUAUCACGAAAGACUGAGAAAAAUUAGGCAUGACCAGCACUAGUGAUCAAAUAAUUGCUUGCUUCAAUGUUUCAAAAGCCUUUUGUGCACUCUCUGUCCACUGAAACUUAAGCUAAGCUUCCUUCUUCAGUAACUCUAUGAGAGGCCUGGCUAUCUGGCCAUAUUUCUCAAUGAAACAUCUAUAAUACCCCUAUUAUGCCCAAGAAGCCCCUAACUGCUUUAACUGACUUAGGUGUCGGCCAUCUUAGGAUAGCUGCAUCCAUUUCUACUCCUUUUCUGAAAAUGAAAUGGCCUUAGUAUUCAACUGAAAUUCUCCCAAAGGAACAUUUCUUG